AUACGGAGGAUGCGAGCGUUAUCCGGAUUUAUUGGGUUUAAAGGGUGCGUAGGCUGUGCGUUAAGUCAGGGGUGAAAUGCCGUCGCUCAACGACGGAGCUGCCCUUGAUACUGGCGUGCUGGAGUACGGAUGCCGUUGGAGGAAUGAGUGGUGUAGCGGAGAAAUGCUUAGAUAUCACUCAGAACACCGAUUGCGAAGGCAUCUGACGAAUCCGUCACUGACGCUGAGGCACGAAAGCGUGGGGAUAGAACAGGAUUAGAUACCCUGGUAUUCCACGCCGUAAACGAUGAUGACUAACCGUCGGCGAUAGACAGCCGGUGGCCAAGCGAAAGCGAUAAGUCAUCCACCUGGGGAGUACGUCGGCAACGAUGAAACUCAAAGGAAUUGACGGGG
rnacentral:rRNA from 1 species